rnacentral:rRNA from 1 species
GACGAACCGUCCAACCGUUAUUCGGAAUCACUGGGCUUACAGAGUUCGUAGGCGGUCUGGAAAGUUGGGUGUGAAAUCCCUCGGCUCAACCGAGGAACUGCGCUCAAAACUACCCGACUCGAGGGAGAUAGAGGAAAGCGGAACUGAUGGUGGAGCGGUGAAAUGCGUAGAGAUCAUGAGGAAGACCAGUGGCGAAGGCGGGUCUCUGGACAGUUCCUGACACUGAGACACGAAGGCCAGGGGAGCAAACGGG